AACACUGACCCAACCAUGCCGCAGCUGGGCGUGUCGCGGCUCCAUUCCGUGAGAAGCGGGGGUGUGGCGCGGGUUGGGUACUGUUGUAGUGUUCUCUACGCCACGUGCUGUGUGGCGGGGCAUUACCGGAGGCGCUGGAGAGGCUACUGAUGAGCACGGGCGUUGUUGUGCCGGCGUGGCUGACGCGUCACGGAGUGUAGGCGGCGCAUGGACAAUUCGUAUGCCGUCAGAGGUUCCCCGCAGGCUGGAGAGGUGCUGGGGAUGUGUGGGAUCUGCUAAACGACCUCCUCUCGGCAGCGGCGGCGGUGGAGGGAAGCACUGCAUCACGUUCCUCUCCUGUAAUAAACACUCGUACGCGCGUGCAAGUCUCCACACGUUGUUGAUUUAGGAAUCGUGUUCAAUGUUAUGACUUGCUGUAUCUACCCCUAACUUUAUUAUUCCUUCAGUUUUUUUUUUCUUUUCUUAUGCUUUAUCCGUAUGCACCAACACGUAUGCAGGUCUUGGUAAUAUGACUUGUUAUAUCUAUCCUUCACUGCUCUGCGGCUCUUUUUUUUUUUUUUUUCGUCUUCUCGUAUGAACUAUUUGUAUACACCGACGCGCAUGCAGCUCAAGACACGGAACUGUUGGUUUAAGAUACAAGCAGAGUAAUA